rnacentral:misc_RNA from 1 species
GGGCUUUGCUUCCAAUUCAUUCCAUUGGUGUCGCAAGAUGCCAAGGAGUACGGUGAUGAGUCAAGAAGCCAUUAGAAUGGAUGAGCUUGAGGAGAAGAAGCCGAUCAUGCCAGAAGAUAUUGAUAAGAAAAGGGAACAGAAAAUGGAAGAAAUGAGAAAAAUAAUAAUGGAUGAGAUGCAGACUAUAAUGACUGGAUUUUUUACUGAUAAAGGGAAGGGAACUGUGAAUGAAGAAGUGAAGGGAAUGCGAUUCAAUAAGGGCAAGGCAGCAAGGGGAUUCUACGAAAUCCAAAGGAGCCAGCUAAGGGAAUUCAAAGAGAGCAAGUAAGUGUUUCUUCUGCUAUGGGAAAUGGGGAGAUAGCAGGGUUACUGCCUAAUAUCGAGUUAGUCACUUGUGAUGGUAGUGCACCUAUGGUUUGGCUUAGGAAAUGUUAGAAGUAUUUAUUUUGAUAUAUAUAAAGUGCCAAGGGAGCAAAGAAUGAGAAUUGCUGCUCUAUUUUAAUAGAUAGGACAGAUUCUUGGUUUCAUAACUGGAGUAAGGGAAAGGCUAAUCUGUUGUGGGAGGAAUUUGAGAAGGGGAUUUGUAAUAGGUUUGGUGAUGAGUGAAUGGAGGAUAUAGUUGACGAAUUCGUGAAAUUAAGGCAAGAAAACAAUCCAAUUGGAAUUCAUGGUGACAUGGAUAUCAAGCUUCUUGAUGAAAGUGUUGCAAUCUUAGAUAAUGAAGUGUGUCGUUUUGCUAAAUAGACAACUUCUGUAUAAGAUGUUAUGGCCAUUAGAGUAUUGCACAAUCAACUAAGAUAUGUUGGUGUAGUUGUGUACAAUUUGUUGUUGAGAUCAUUGAACAAACAAGCUAUAAAAACCUAAGUUGAUGAAUCUUUUUCAUCAUUUGUCCAUGUUGAAGAUGACUAUCUCAUGCGUGUUAAAGAUGACUAUCUCAUGCGUGAUGAAGUAAAGAUUGGAAGCUGUGUCUUAGCAUUGAGAAAUUGCAAUCAUUUACCGCUCAAAGAGACUGAGUUUGAAAUUAGGAGGAGGCAAAGGAAGAAAAUGUGUUCCUUUGAAUAUUGUCA